CCGGGGGAGCCUACCAUGCAAGUCGAGCGGAUGAGAAGAGCUUGCUCUUCGAUUCAGCGGCGGACGGGUGAGUAAUGCCUAGGAAUCUGCCUGGUAGUGGGGGACAACGUUUCGAAAGGAACGCUAAUACCGCAUACGUCCUACGGGAGAAAGCAGGGGACCUUCGGGCCUUGCGCUAUCAGAUGAGCCUAGGUCGGAUUAGCUAGUUGGUGAGGUAAUGGCUCACCAAGGCGACGAUCCGUAACUGGUCUGAGAGGAUGAUCAGUCACACUGGAACUGAGACACGGUCCAGACUCCUACGGGAGGCAGCAGUGGGGAAUAUUGGACAAUGGGCGAAAGCCUGAUCCAGCCAUGCCGCGUGUGUGAAGAAGGUCUUCGGAUUGUAAAGCACUUUAAGUUGGGAGGAAGGGCAUUAACCUAAUACGUUAGUGUUUUGACGUUACCGACAGAAUAAGCACCGGCUAACUCUGUGCCAGCAGCCGCGGUAAUACAGAGGGUGCAAGCGUUAAUCGGAAUUACUGGGCGUAAAGCGCGCGUAGGUGGUUUGUUAAGUUGGAUGUGAAAGCCCCGGGCUCAACCUGGGAACUGCAUCCAAAACUGGCAAGCUAGAGUACGGUAGAGGGUGGUGGAAUUUCCUGUGUAGCGGUGAAAUGCGUAGAUAUAGGAAGGAACACCAGUGGCGAAGGCGACCACCUGGACUGAUACUGACACUGAGGUGCGAAAGCGUGGGGAGCAAACAGGAUUAGAUACCCUGGUAGUCCACGCCGUAAACGAUGUCAACUAGCCGUUGGAAUCCUUGA
rnacentral:rRNA from 1 species